rnacentral:snRNA from 1 species
GUGCUCACUUCAGCAACAUAUAUACUAAAAUUGGAAUGAUACAGAAAAGACAAGCAUGGCCCCUUGUGCAAGAAUGACAUGCAAAUUGAAGUGUUCCCUAUUUUU